rnacentral:rRNA from 1 species
UACAGGGGGGGCAAGCGUUGUUCGGAAUUACUGGGCGUAAAGGGUUCGUAGGUGGCCACUUAAGUCAGACGUGAAAUCCCUCAGCUUAACUGGGGAACUGCGUCUGAUACUGGGUGGCUUGAGUGCAGGAGAGGAAUGCGGAAUUCCAGGUGUAGCGGUGAAAUGCGUAGAUAUCUGGAGGAACACCGGUGGCGAAGGCGGCAUUCUGGACUGUAACUGACACUGAGACGCGAAAGCGUGGGGAGCAAACAGG